CGGGGCGUAGCGCAGCCCGGUAGCGCACUUUGCAUGGGGUGCAAGGGGUCGAGUGUUCGAAUCACUCCGUCCCGACCA
rnacentral:tRNA from 1 species